UACGUAGGGUGCGAGCGUUGCCCGGAAUUAUUGGGCGUAAAGAGCUUGUAGGCGGUUUGUCGCGUCUGCCGUGAAAAUUCGAGGCUCAACCUCGAACUUGCGGUGGGUACGGGCAGACUAGAGUGUGGUAGGGGAGACUGGAAUUCCUGGUGUAGCGGUGAAAUGCGCAGAUAUCAGGAGGAACACCGGUGGCGAAGGCGGGUCUCUGGGCCGAUACUGACGCUGAGGAGCGAAAGCGUGGGGAGCGAACAGG
rnacentral:rRNA from 1 species